rnacentral:lncRNA from 1 species
UCUUUAUGAAAUAAAGUGGGAAGAAGUGGGACCAUAGAGAAUUCUAAUUGGACUAAUAUAUACCAUUCUUAGAGUUUAUUAACACUGUUAAUAUUAAACAAGAGGAGAUAACAUAAAUGAUUUCUAAUAUUGAUUCAUUUUUCAUUUAUCAUUGUAUUCCAUGUCUCUAGUGCCACUUUUUAUAGUAUACUAGACAUAUAAAUGCAAAAUCACACUUGAAAUUUGAAAUUUUGCUCUUCUACAUAGUUUGAAUUCUAGGGAUUUAGUCAAGUCAAUAGUUAUAAAAUACUUUGAAAUCACCAUAGACUCACCAUGUAAGUACAAACUUGUUACUUGUACCUUGAAUAAUUAGUAUACAUCCUUAAUUUUGUAGAUGCCAGGAUUGCUGAGAGAAGCAAGCCCUGCCCCUCAAACCCCAACCCUCCCACCCUCCUCCAACUCUGCCUUCCCUUAAAAGAUAGGUUUGUGUUGGAUGAUACAGAUCAGCUACACAGUGUUACUCUUAGGUUUCUAGGAUAGGUAGUAAAGGAGAAUAAGUGUCUCAAGUUGGCAGAUAUUAAAAUGGGAUGUGGGAAUAAUAUUAAAAUGUAUCUGUUGUCCCCAUAGUAUAAAGUAUAAUAAUUAAUUAUCCCACAUUCCUGAAAAACAGAUCAUUAAGUAGCUGUCAAAUGAUUAUUCUUUCUUAAGAAUGUUAAUACAUGGUGUUGUUCAACAUACUGCAAGUCCAAAGUCUUAUAAAAUGUUCUUUAUAUGUUAAAGUUGGGUAUUUUAUGUUUACCAUGUUAAAUUUGU